rnacentral:rRNA from 1 species
CAGUUGUCCUGCCAAGGGCAUGGCUGGGUAGCUAUGUACGGAAUGGAUAAGCGCUGAAAGCAUCUAAGCGCGAAGCCAACUUCAAGAUAAGAUUUCCCACCGCAAGGGUAAGACCCCAGAAAGACUAGCUGGUUGAUAGGUCGAAGGUGUAAGUGCAGCAAUGUAUUUAGCUUAUCGAUACUAAUAGGUCGAGGACUUGACCAAU